AGGCAUCAAGGUUUUCAUAUCUCUACAUAUUCGUCAAUCUCUGCUUCAAAUUUAUUUUUCAUACAACCGAAUAUUUGUAUAUUAUUAUUUUUUUUCCUUAGCGAAAUAUGAGCGACCCGAAGUACGCAUACCCAUACCCGGCGCCGGGGUACUACCCGCAAGGACCACCACCUCCGGUGGCUGCUCCGCCGCAGUAUUAUGCUCCGCCGCCCCCUCCGCCGCCGCAGCGAAAGCCCGGCUUCAUCGAAGGACUGCUCGCAGCUCUGUGUUGCUGUUGUUUGGUGGACGAGUGUUGUUGUGAUCCCACAAUUAUAUGUGUGGACUAACCUUUAUUUGUGACUUAUCUUUAAGAGAGGGAGAUCAUUUUCUUUUACUUAAUCGAAUAAUCAGUAUACAUUUCGUAUUUUAUUACAAGUUUUUUCGAGUUCUAGGUUUCGGUUGGUGGGAAAAUAUUAAUACCUAUUAUUUUAUUUUCGUUACCAAAUUACUAAUAAUGAAAUUCGGUACAUAGUAAACAAAAAAAAUUAAUGUAGUUUCAUAUAAAAAUAAAAUAUUGUAUUUUGUUGGUAGGUUAUUGACGCAUUAAACGGAAACUAUUACACAGACGAUGCAAACUAACGCAAACUUUGAAAGCAUUUCUCUUGAUACGGCACAAUUCUUCUUUUUUUUUUUAGUUCGAUAUAUGGAUGAUUUCCAUCAGUUUACAUGUGAUUAAGUGAUUUUGGGUUAACCGGUUCA